UGCAUUUAUUAUUUCUAACUGCAUGCAUACU
rnacentral:piRNA from 1 species